AGAAUUAGAAAAACAACAGCCUAACAGAUGAAGAAUGUGUCCACAUAGAGCAACCGUUAUGCUAUCACCUACCUACCUUAACGUUGAUGAAAACAGAUGUGCUUGAAGUUUUUCCUGAAUUGAUUAGAGAUAGGAAAACCUUCCUGAUGAAUUUUGAAAUGAUACAGAGGAAAGAACUACAUGUACAGUUUGAAUUAUAGGAGCCUUGGUCACAGACCUUUAACAUGAUUGAUCUGUCAGAACCCAAAAUGGAAACUGACCGAUACCAGAGUGACAGAAUUAGACUGACACCAGACUAAACAUGUUCAGACGAGUGUAUUAAUAACAAUAGUCAGCACACAGACUGUGAAGAUUCUGAUGGCACCUCUUCCAG